rfam:Coriobacteriaceae bacterium CHKCI002 isolate CHKC2 genome assembly, contig: {contig204}
GGCGGCGUCGGAAACGCUGCCGGAGAAAGGAG